ensembl:lncRNA
AUAUAUAUAUAUAUAUAUAUAUAUAUAGAUUUUUUUUCCCAGUUUAUUCUUUUCCUACUUUGGUCUGGUUUGAGGAGACAUUGGAAAACUUGGGGAGCUCUUUCCUUUUUUUAAUUGAAUUAUUUUGGUGAUGCUUGUUGGACGAAUCGAAUUCAGUGGAACCGAAUACGUUUCUAUUCUGUCUAAAGAUCCCCCGUGAAUUAUGUCUAAAUGCUGCGGAAACGAUGAGCUUUAUUUCAUCAGAGUUUUCUGUAUACAGGGAAGAUCUGUGAUGUCCAAUGUGUAAAAAUUUGUGUAAAUGAAAGAAGAAAAAGAAAGAAACAUGACUCUAAACAUAAACAUCAAACACAAAGAAGAAGCUUAUAUAGAAAGCAGAAGAAAAUCCUGACAGUGAGAACAAACUCACAACACGAUUGGUGAAUUCUCAGCUAGACCCUGAAACCGACGCGAUGACGAGUUCACACUGGCGGGUGUUGGUCAGCUGUCUGCCUUACGAUCCGUACAGUUCUGUCAUUGGCCUGGAAGAAGCUCCGAGCCGUUUUCAACCAUCCAGAUGAUGGAGUGAAACUGUCAGUGGAGGAGACGGAACCAGCACGGACCCAGAGCUCAGUGCGACCGUUCUACUCCGACUACGAUGGACCAGAUUCUCCAGCGGUUGUUGGACAUCUGUCUGUCUGCAGAUUAACGCCGUGGAAGAGGAGCAGGAACCUGUUCACGCGUCAAGAUGAUGAUGUGAGAGCCGGAGGAGGAAACGUUCCAGGCUCCGUCCAGCCGUUCUCAACGAACUUCAGAACCUACGACGCGUUAGACACCGACCCGACUCAGUCUGACCUCACACUGUUUGAUUGUAAUAUACGUGUUACAAAUUAAAAAUGCAUAUUGUGGACAUCUAAUCGUCUAAUUAUUGCGUUCAUCAUCACAGUAAACUAUCAAUUCUUCUAUUCAGUAACAAACACAGUAACUAACACUCGUAUUAACUGCUUGCUUUUAAUAAUACACUAACCGAGCUGAAUAAUCACAAUUAAACCCACACACAACAGCUUGGGUCAUGCCUCUGUUCAAUUCUCAAUACUGUGAUGACAGAACAGAUCUACUCCACUGGACUUGGACUGUGUGAGUGCAAAUAAUUUACACACCCUGUGAAGUGGUCCUGGACUUCUGAAUCUCAGUAUUUCCGGCACGCGCUGACUCACUCACAGUGCACCUGGAUGAAACUAUGACUCAGUUACUUAAUGCCCCUCUUGUACCUCUCACACGGUGUACCUGCACUUUACAAACCUGCAUCAGUCACUUUCUAUUCAUGGAACUCAUUUAGCUGCCAGUACUGCUGCUGUACGUAUUGCUCCUACACUAUUCGAUAGUUUAUAGUUACAGCCCAUGUCCUGUUUAUUUACUGCCCUGUGUCACCAUGG